rnacentral:lncRNA from 10 species
AGUGGCGGCCGCUGGACCUUCUGGGCCUUGCUAGGGUCCUCAGCCAGUAUCUAAGGUGGCCGCUGCUAUCCCCAAGCUCAGCCUUAGGCACAUGGGGUUCCCUUACCACCCGAGCUGCAGGGCUGGAACCUGAAGCCAGCUCCUAAGACAACCCCCACCCCCAGGCCAGCUGGGAAUGGAGUUAGAUCCUCCUCUGUAGGGGCUGGGGGAGGAGGGAAGGAGAGGAGGGGUGUCCAGGGGUAACCACUUACAGGAGGUGGCCUGGUCAGGUGUGAGCUUGCACCAGCAGUGCAGGCUCUGUGUGUGCCUGGCACAGCACACCUGUAGCUCCCCUCGUGUAACACUGCACACCCUGAUUGUUGCAUAGUUGAAGGAGGUAUGUGAGGUUGUACCCAGCAAUGCAGGCUGUGAGUGGGGGCAUGUGAAUUGUACCCACCCCUCAACAAAAUGUAGGUACCCCAUCACUCCCUGGAACUCACCCAGCCCUUCCUCACACCCCAACCUGCCACCCCUCACCCCUAUCAUGCACAGUCUUUGGAGUCUGCUCUGAGCUCCUUGGAAAACCUGACCUGACUCCAGCCUCUGCUCAGCCUGUUCCUAUCAGAUUCUCCAGGAUAAGACAUCCAGGUGAGGGUUCCGGGGUGGGAGGGGCCUCCCUGGGCCAACCAGGCCAGAGCUGAAUGGGGGCAGAAGGCAUUGGAUGGGCCCUUUUGAGCCACGCAGGGAACGUGGUGGCAGCUCCUGCCAGUUGCUUGGCAACAGCCUGGCUGUGGAACUUCAAACUCUGAGCUGAUCUGGAGGGUCUGGGGGCCCUGGUAGGGAGCAGGACUGGGGGGCUGUGUGGGAGUGACACAUAAGUGUGAAAGUGGGCAUGAGGGCAGCAGAAGGAGUAAAGCAUGAGGGAGGAGGUCUCCUCUGGCACCUGAGCUGAAGGGCCCUCAGGGCAGCCCCAAGGCCGCAGCCUCCCGGUUGCCCUGCAGCCUGGCUGCUGAGUCCCAGCUGCUUCAGCUGGCUAGAGGUCCUUACUUAGUUGUCUCAAGCACCUGAAGCCUACCUUGCCCACCUGCGAGUCACUCGCCCCACAAGCAGGGCACCCAUCUGAGUCCUGUGCCCAGGGCAAACCCCACAACUGCCUGGUAGUGGAGCCACGACAGGGCAGUCAGUGCUCAGGAGGUGCCACACAGCCCCCAAGCACAGAUGCGGCCACACAAAGCCGCUAUUAUAGUUAACAGGUUGAGCCAGAUUCUCUGUGUGCCACCCACCGCACUGCACAGGGCCUCUAGGACCCCAUCCCUGCCUGGGUUCCUGGGGCCCCUCAGGCCGCCACCCACUCAACCAGAGGGCCAGAUCUGAGGGGCAGGGCUCGCUGGCCGCAGGAAUUUGGUGAUUGCCGUCGGUUCUGAAGCCAAAGAAGGAAGCAGACCUCUCCGCGCAGGCAGGUUUGUUAAUUCCCCUUCUCUCCCGGCACCUCUGCGAACAAUUAUUCCGAUCGUUCUUUUUCUAUUUUUGAACAGAGACGGGUCAUUUCCGGCAGGGGAGGUAGAGGGAGAGUUUCGAGCUUUCUGUUGUGAGUAGUUGGCCUUGACUGUGACCCUCGCAGCCCCCCUCCCCUCCAGCCUCCGCCCCACUUGGGACGGAGUUUGCGGGUCCAGCCGCCACACCGGCCUUUCUCCCUGGCCGCGGCGCUCGGCGGACGCGGGAUCCGCUGAGAUUCCGUCUCAACGAAUUCCGGGCGGAGAGGCGGGAGUCCUGCGUGUCCCGCCGCGCCGCGGGUCCCAGCGUCCCCAGGAGUCUGGCAUCCCCGGGAGGCCUAGCCCAAGGGCAGGAGAGUCAGCGGGGCCCUACUGAAAGUGCACGACCCGGGCAGCCGGCGGCCGAACAGCUCCGGGAGCAGGCGAGCGGUAUCCGGGAAGCUCAAAGGCCGCCCCCCGGACGCCCCAGGCCCCAGCGCUGGGAUUGUACCUACCUGCGGAAUGUCCUCUUCUGCAUGAGUCCGCGUCGAGCUGGGCAGGGUCCGAGAGCUGCCGGGCUGAGGGCUCCGGCCUGCAUGUGCUCUCCGCGGCAAUCUGUGUCCAGAAAAUGCUCGGAGUUCUCCGGACACAGCAGCCUCUAGAGGCGGUCUUGGGGAAUUGGGAGGCGGGAAGAAGGCCACAGUCUCCCCUGGGGUCCUGCUGUGUGAUCUGCGCCGGCCGGGAAGCAUUGAUCUUGAGUCCAAAAGAGGAGAGAAAUCGCACCCCGAGAAGAAGGCGCGAGCUCGGUGGCUCCAGUCCUGCGGGAGCAGAGGGGACAGCAGACCUGCCCAGGUAGAGGGAGACGACUUCUGAGGUGCUGGAGGCUAUUUCUGGAUUUUGCGCGGCCUGGCGCUGGGUGCCACAGCCGGUGAAUGCGGGAGACCUGCAGCAGACCCGGCGCUGCCGCCAGAACCUGCUCACUACGCUCCACACAGCUCGUCAGGGCCCAACCUGAGCACUCCGCGGGCCUGCGGGGAUGGGGCGGAAAGGCUGGCUGCUGUCUUCGGACCCUGAACCCUCCCCUCUUUUUCUCUUUUCUUCAUGUCUACACAAAGUGAGUGACAGAAGCCCCCUCUUAUGCGGAUAUCCCAGGGGACCCCAGAUGAGGGGGUGGAUGACCAAGCCCACCCUCCACUCAGCCGAACUUCCCCAUGGGCUUGCUGGGGUGGGAAGUUGCUGUGCUCACGACCUGUGUCACAGCCCUCAUGGCUGCCGGGCAGGGGCAGGGUUGGGGGACAGUGGUUCUGACAGUUAGGGUGGCUCCCCACCCUCAGUAUCCCGCAAACACUUCUGCAGAGCUUCCAGUGACCCCCACACCACGAACUUCCACUUUCAGCUGAAAAGUUCUCUCACUCUCCCAUCCCAGAGAAAAAGCCUCUUACCCCUCCAUUUCAACUCACCCCUAGGGUGAUGAGUUCUGUAGACCCUCCACCACACAGCUUCUUCCAGAAAAGCAGACCCAAGUCAGUCUUGUCUAGGAUAAUUCGAAUAGGCUGGGGACUGGCUGUUAUGCCUGUGUGCAUGUGUACUGUGGCUGCAGGUCUGGCAAGGGUGGUCUGGAGGGCUCCUGGAGGUUCCCAGAAAGUCAAUUCUUUAGAUCUCUCCUAGGCCAGGCUAGUGCUGGGAACUGGUAGGUCCCACUUACAGCACCAGAGAGGAUUCUGGCCUUAAUUUCUGAUUCAAUGUGCCCCAGUCUCUGCAGCUUGCUGGGUAAGCGUCUAGAGCCCCAGAACUUCAGCAGAUGUUGGUCCCGCCACAAUGUAUCUGCGUAUCGCACAACAGACUCCCACCAACACAUACACCAUCAGCACACAAUUACACACACUCAUACAGAACCAUACCCACCCACUUGCAGUGAUGGUCUCCCACAGUGAUCCACACUCCCCACUACCUUUACUCCCCCAAUUACAUUCUGUCACACACAAGUAAAUACAGGGAAAAUGCACAGCUCACACAUAAUUACAUCUCACACACAAUUACACCCAUAAAAUUCAAGAUGAUCCACUUCAGAAGCAGUCACACAUUUCACAGAAAAAUAGAUUUACAAAGAGAAACUAAUACAUAUUCUCCCAAACAUCAACACGAUUCAUACAUAAUCACAAACAAUGGUUGAUUACACAAUUACCCAAAAAGAAACAGUCACAUUCACAUACGGUUACACACACACCACUACAAGCCCGUGCAUACAAUGAUAGUUUCGAUUUGCAACUUAAGCAGAAACAAGCAUUUACACGCAAGAAUUGCAAACACAAUUAUACACUUAAAUACCAUUAUAAAUAUUCACUAUUUGCUCGCAUUGCUGAUUGCUCACAUUAUCACAAACACACCACACACACACACACACACACACACACACACACGACUCUCACAUCCAAAGAAAUCCACAUCCUCUCAGGCACUGGUAAUCCCAGGAGAGCCUGGCUCUCCCUGCUCUCCUCAACUCUGCCUUCUCUCCAUCUGUCCUCUUCCUUUCCUCUCUCCAGAGCCUUAGGGUCCUGCCCCGCAACAUGUCUCUCAAGUUCAGGUACCAAGGGCUGCCCCUGAAGCAUCAGCUCACACACCAAACCCAAGUAGCUGAAGGACGCUAGGGUCCGCAAGGAGCAGGCAGCCCUGACUCCGGAUCCGGAGGCUUUUAUUUAUUUUUUUCACAUAAAUUACACAAGCACUUUAUAAAAUGGUUACACAGAAAACACCUUAUAAGUGCAUAAAUUAACAC